rnacentral:rRNA from 1 species
AUUGAACGCUGGCGGCAGGCCUAACACAUGCAAGUCGAACGAGUGGCGGACGGGUGAGUAAUGUCUGGGAAACUGCCCGAUGGAGGGGGAUAACUACUGGAAACGGUAGCUAAUACCGCAUACCAUCAGAUGUGCCCAGAUGGGAUUAGCUAGUUGGUGGGGUAACGGCUCACCAAGGCGACGAUCCCUAGCUGGUGUGAGAGGAUGACCAGCCAACCGGGAACUGGGACACGGUCCAGACUCCUACGGGAGGCAGCAGGGGGGAAUAGUGUACAAUGGGGGAAAGCCUGAUGCAGCCAUCCCGCGUGUAUGAUGAAGGCCUUCGGGUUGUAAAGUACUUUCGGCGGGGAGGCGUUACCCGCAGAAGAAGCACCGGCUAACUCCGUGCCAGCAGCCGCGGUAAUAC